GAUGAACGCUGGCGGCGUGCCUAAUACAUGCAAGUCGAGCGAACAGACGAGGAGCUUGCUCCUCUGACGUUAGCGGCGGACGGGUGAGUAACACGUGGAUAACCUACCUAUAAGACUGGGAUAACUUCGGGAAACCGGAGCUAAUACCGGAUAAUAUAUUGAACCGCAUGGUUCAAUAGUGAAAGACGGUUUUGCUGUCACUUAUAGAUGGAUCCGCGCCGCAUUAGCUAGUUGCUAAGGUAACGGCUUACCAAGGCGACGAUGCGUAGCCGACCUGAGAGGGUGAUCGGCCACACUGGAACUGAGACACGGUCCAGACUCCUACGGGAGGCAGCAGUAGGGAAUCUUCCGCAAUGGGCGAAAGCCUGACGGAGCAACGCCGCGUGAGUGAUGAAGGUCUUCGGAUCGUAAAACUCUGUUAUUAGGGAAGAACAAAUGUGUAAGUAACUAUGCACGUCUUGACGGUACCUAAUCAGAAAGCCACGGCUAACUACGUG
rnacentral:rRNA from 1 species